GUGUGUGUGUGUGUGUGUGUGUGUGUGUGUGUGUGUGUGUGUGUGUGUGUGUGUGUCUAGGCGAGCUGACGUCUUGUGAUGCCCUGUCAUCUGAUACCCAGAAGAAUGUCCUGUCGGCUCUCCUGAGACUGGGCGCUGUGACCAGGCUGAGAACAGCUGAUAGUGAAUUCAGAGCCAACAAACCAGCCAUCAGUAGAUUAGCAGAUACUCUGGCGGGUAGACUGCCA